rnacentral:lncRNA from 1 species
UGCAGCCGUGGGACAUUCACUAACAUGAUGGGCCGGGCUAGCACAGAUAGAAUAAAUCUCCUGAUAAUUAGGUGGUGGUGUGUAUUGUGCAGGAGAUUAUUGACCUAAUGUUAGGAACUGAUCAAAUUUCUGAGCAAGAAAAUCGACUUUAUCUAAUCUUUGGGCUAUUAGGUUCAAAUCGACCUCAGGACUAGAGUUAGAAUAUUUGAUCUCAUAGAAUGAUGGAAACAUCGAUGGAUGAUAUGUGGAAGGAAUAAAAUAUUUUUUCAUCUGCCUAGGUG